UACCAGCACCCCGAGUGGUCGGGACGUUUUAUUGGGCCUAAAGCAUCCGUAGCCGGUUCUACAAGUCUUCCGUUAAAUCCAGCUGCUUAACAGAUGGGCUGCGGAAGAUACUAUGGAGCUAGGAGGCGGGAGAGGCAAGCGGUACUCGAUGGGUAGGGGUAAAAUCCGUUGAUCCAUUGAAGACCACCAGUGGCGAAGGCGGCUGCCAGAACGCGCUCGACGGUGAGGGAUGAAAGCUGGGGGGAGCAAACCGG
rnacentral:rRNA from 1 species